UACGUAGGGUGCGAGCGUUGCCCGGAUUUAUUGGGCGUAAAGGGCGCGUAGGCGGCCACGCACGUCCGUUGUGAAAUCGCCCGGCUCAACUGGGCGGGGUCGGCGGAUACGGCGUGGCUGGAGCAAGCUAGGGGGCAAUGGAAUUCCCGGUGUAGUGGUGGAAUGCGUAGAUAUCGGGAGGAACACCAGUGGCGAAGGCGAUCGCCUGGAGCUUUGCUGACGCUGAGGCGCGAAAGCGUGGGGAGCGAACAGG
rnacentral:rRNA from 1 species